rnacentral:rRNA from 1 species
UACGUAGGGUGCGAGCGUUAAUCGGAAUUACUGGGCGUAAAGCGCGCGCAGGCGGUUCUUUAAGUCUGAUGUGAAAGCCCACGGCUCAACCGUGGAGGGUCAUUGGAAACUGGAGAACUUGAGUACAGAAGAGGAAAGCGGAAUUCCACGUGUAGCGGUGAAAUGCGUAGAGAUGUGGAGGAACACCGAUGGCGAAGGCAGCCCCCUGGGCUAACACUGACGCUCAUGCACGAAAGCGUGGGGAGCAAACAGG